UACGUAGGGGGCAAGCGUUGUCCGGAUUCAUUGGGCGUAAAGAGCGUGUAGGCGGCCAGGUAGGUCGGUUGUGAAAACUGGAGGCUCAACCUUCAGAGGUCGACCGAAACCAUCUGGCUAGAGUCCGGAAGAGGCGAGUGGAAUUCCUGGUGUAGCGGUGGAAUGCGCAGAUAUGCGGAGGAACACCGAUGGCGAAGGCGGCAUCCUGGACCGGUAUUGACGCUGAGGCGCGAAAGCCAGGGGAGCAAAGCGGG
rnacentral:rRNA from 1 species